CAGCAGCCGCGGUAAAACGUAGGGUGCAAGCGUUAAUCGGAAUUACUGGGCGUAAAGCGUGCGCAGGCGGUCCGCUAAGACAGAUGUGAAAUCCCCGGGCUUAACCUGGGAACUGCAUUUGUGACUGGCGGGCUAGAGUAUGGCAGAGGGGGGUAGAAUUCCACGUGUAGCAGUGAAGUGCGUAGAGAUGUGGAGGAAUACCGAUGGCGAAGGCAGCCCCCUGGGCCAAUACUGACGCUCAUGCACGAAAGCGUGGGGAGCAAACAGGAUUAGAUACCCGCGUAGUCCCUGUCUCUUAUAA
rnacentral:rRNA from 1 species